rnacentral:lncRNA from 1 species
AGAUUGAAGAAAUUCAGAGGAUAAGGUUAGGGGAGAGAAUAAGUUUUUGGGGAGUUUUGAAGGAUGGAGGAGAGCUAGCUUCAUGCUUCAGGCGGGAAAAGAAGACAGAGAAUUGGGUUUUUUUUUUCUUCAUAGGGUUUUGGGAAGACUGAGGCAAUUGUUGCUGAAGUCAGUGUUGUAAUGGUGAAUCGGGAUUUUUAAUGAAGUGGGUUUGAUUAUUCUUGACUGUUUUGUGAAAUCGAGUUACGUCUGUGAUGAGGAAUUAAAAGGGUGUCUAUAGGAUUGAGUAUGCGGAGUGAAUGAAAUAUAUUUGGGUUAAUCUAACAGGACAGUCAGUGGAUACAAGAUUGUGAGUAUAAAGCGGUAUCGGAGAUUAGUAGAUUGG